AUUUGGUUUAAAUCUUUCUUUUCCAUGUGUGAAGUGGGACACCAGUGCAUUGCAUCAUUCGGUUGUGCAUAUCCACUGGACAUGUGUUCUCUGCUAUGGGAUUAUGGAAAACUGCCCAAAGUUUUCUCUGACUGCUGCUGCACAGAUGCAAUCAAAAUCUGGGCAAUGUCCCUUUGUCCCAGUCUGGAGCACACUGGCCCUGAGGUGCAGCAUCCCCAGGAAGGCAGACAGCAGCAGGCUGCACAGCGAGGUCAUUUACCACUAGAUGGCUGGACCUCCUUUUCGUGCAGCUGUUUUGUUCCCAGCUCAGUGACCGAGCUUAGCCCUCAGUGGACUCGUUGUAAACUCUCUGCCCACCCACUUUAUAGCUUAACAUUUUGAAACAGCUGAUGCUUUUAGCAGAUUUACCUUCAUGAUGAAUAUUUCAAACUUUUGAAACUUACUGAAAAAGCUGUGGUAGCUUUUCUGCAAGACAAAGAGGAAACACUUCCUCAUCCUUGGGUUUUUUUCCAUUCCAUGUAUAAUACAAUUUUCACCAAGUCUUAUUUCAUAGGUGUAUGCAUAAGUGGGGCACAUUUAACAGUUCAUCACUCAGACUGGAAUACAGCAUCAUAGUGUCCUGAAUAGUCACUGCCACGUGCCUUGAUCUGGUGAAUUUGGUGGUAUAAAAAUCUGUAAAACUUUUAGACACUGACAUACACGUCACUGUGAUUUGGGGCAGCAAUGUCUUUCCUUUAAGAAAAAAUAUUUUGCCCACAGUCAACAUCUUCAAAAAAUUAAUACUUCUGGAUGAAAAAUUCCAACUUUCCUCACGAUUGCAGACUGAUACAUUAUACAGAGCAAGAAGACCCACUUCAAAAGGAAGAUUUCUCCUGCCUGAAAGCAGACAAGAGGAAUAGGCAAAAAAUCUGUUUUUUGAAGAUACCACUUUAGUUUUCCUUAUCAGUUUCUUCACAUUUUCAACUCUGUUACUUGUAUUUACUGGUUCACAUCAUGUGUCUAUAGAUGUAUUUGUAUCCAGAGUUCAAAACAAGAGAGAGGUAGGUUUUUAAAUUAAAAAUUAUUUUGGCUGUUUUGCUGUCACAGCACUGACAUUUUACACUUGCCACUUGCAGGAACAAGGAGGAGUGAAUUAUUGUCCCUGCUUCCAAGGUAAUAUAAUCUAAAAUAUCAAACCUGGAAGUCUUAGUGCACUUUAACACCUUUGUGGGAGCCCAAAGAUGUGCCUAAAGAUGAUGAGACAUGAAAUAGUAAGGUGAAGAUGAAUCUAGAAAUAGCUCUGGGGUGGGUUUUCUUUUCUAAGUAGCAGUCUCUCACAGUUCAAUUUUCUUAAAGCGCUAUGACAGCAAAAAAAAAAAGCUGAUGGUUUAACUAGUGUGGUGGAAGAGCAGGAAAUUCAGAUGAACUCCACCCAUCAAGACUCACAGAGAAACACAGGUAAUGAAGCAUUCAGCAGAGAUGAGCCCCAGAAUAAACAGACCUCAAAAGUAACUGUUCGACCCAACAGGAAUAUUAGUAGCUAUUCUGUUCUCAUCUGCAGAAAGGAUUCUGGUUCUGUUAAUGCAACAGAAGAGAGUAAGAAAGGCUUAGAAAUUUCCAUUUAAUGGACUUGGAGACAAGUAAAUUGUAAAUUUUUUGAAGUGCUUCCUUUUUACAGGUGCCUGAAGUGUAACAUGUGCAGAUUAUUUAUGAAGAGCAACCUCACAUUUGGAAGUAGUUGAGAAACAAAGUCCUACUUGAUCCUGUCACAAGCAGAAUGUUGUUACUGAGCCCAGAUUGUCAGAUGUAGCAUAAUUACAGCAGGUCCACUGAUACAAGCUAUACAGAAUACUGCUGUAAAAUACCUGUUCACCAGUGCUGAUACAAGUGCUACGUUUGCUGUGGCAGCUCUGCAUAACGUCUGAGAAAUCAGAAGUGUCAAUAGCAAAGUUGGCUUUUUCCACUCUGUUCUCAGCAACACAAUUUAGGCUCCCGCUUGCACAGAGGUCUGGGGGCUGAACUCCUGACCAAGCUGACCAAACAGGUAUUCCAUGCCUUUUAGUUCAAUUAUUGGCUAGGCCAUGGUGGCAAACUCUUCUAGAAACUGGGCUUUGAGAUUAAUUGCUCUUCUAGCCUCCCUUCCUACCACUCUGGCAGCAACUUGAAGCCUACAACAGCCAGAUUUGCAGUCGUGCACGCUCUCAUCCCACCACCUGCUUGCACUCCUUGACCUUCUGACAGGUCUGCAGAUGUUCCUGGAAAGAGGUGCCAGAAUGAUUCCUCAGGGAUUAUUCUUGCAGUAAACUCUGAUCCAGGCUCCCAGGAGAAACAAAAAUCUUCACAGGGAGGAUGGGAGAAGCUUGGGUGGUUUAGGCCUGAGCAAAGGAAACCCUUGAGGGGAAACAUUCUCAAAGAUUACUUAAAAUGGUGGAUUUGCAGAAAAUCUUAUCACCACUAAAAACACACUCAGAGGAAACAGUCACUCUCCUGAGUGGUAUUACAGAGCAAACACUGUAAGUUAAACCUCUGAGUUGAAUGUGUCCUGUAUUAUAUGAUGAAGAAUGACUGAAAGCAAGUCAGAGGGCCUUGAAAAACCUAAUGGACCUUAAGAAGAUCAUAUGGUGCUCUGUUACUGGAUAAACACCAGUUGUCCUUUUGGACAGAGCAUCUUCAAGAAUUAUACCUGAACCUUCAGGUAUACACAAGCAAUAGCCCAUGCUUGGGAAGUGAGAAGCUUCCAAAUUUGCAGAGUUUGUCCAGUACUUUUAGCAGUAAAAGUGAAAAAGAUAAAUUUGGCACUUACUGGAGUCUAAGUUUAUAUCCAUUUUAAGGACCAUGGUCCAUAGCACCAGUAAUGGAAGGGGAGGUGACUACCCACACUGAUUGCAGUUAUCCCUAAUUUAGGACUGCAAAUCUGUGUCUCUUUUUGUAGAAUAAUGCAUGUGUUUUAUCUCAUUAAACCCUGUCACUGUCGUGCCCAUAAAAUGGUUGUAAUAACUCCCUCAUAAUGAAUGCCCUUUGAGCCAGUUUGAUGGUAUGAGUGCUUGGAACCACACCUGCAGCCACUGCGUGCCAGUGAGCUAUGGACCAGGUAUGUUCUACAAUUCCUGCUUCACUGUUGUAUAGACUUGUCGGGGCUUAAUCCCUGAUAAGAUAGAGCUGUGUAAACUCGAGAAGAGGGGCUUGCUGAGGCACAGCACCAGUGCAGAAACAGAGCUGUGUGCCAGGAUGUUUGCCCCAAGCAGCACCGCGGUGCAGCCACAGCCCCGGGCGCUCCUCUGCCCCUGCCCGCACAGCCCAGCCGUGGGCAGGAAGCGUGCCACCACUCCCACCCCUUCCUCCCACAAGGAGCAGAUGCAGCAGCUCGAGGUGCCUGACACAAAAAGAAAUAAAGGCUCAGAUACACACUGUCUUGAGAAAAUAAAAUCAGACACGAUGCAGCUGGUUACUGGCUGUUAUUUAGUAAGCCUUAGCUGCAGUUUCUGGCCUCUAACCCUGUAGAGGUAUAGACACGCUUCAUGCUUUGUGAGUCAUCCUAACAACAUUGCUGUUAUCACAUUAUAAUGAUGUUGGGCUGGUCCUGUGAGAUGAUAUUAUUAUCCAGUAUUGAGAGCUAAGUUUCAGAUGAAAAAGCAGCUCAAUACUCACCAGUGUUACCCAUAACAGUAAUUAGUCAGUACUUGCACUUAUUAGUCUUGAGGGAAGCUGAAAUCAUGUUCACAUCUGGGGCAGAGCAUGUACUUCCACCAAGGCCAGUACAACUUGUAUCGCUACUUGAGUUUAGUUCUAUGAAAUUCUUAUCUCAGAAUUCCUUCUAAACCUAAACAAUGUCCCUUCAUCAGUGCUUGCACUUUUGCUAAGCAGAAAACAAAGUGGUUUUAUGAUUACAAAACUAUAAAAUGAACACAAAUGGCAUGAUGAGCUGGUGUGUUAUUUAGAUAACACCUCUGACUCUAUGAAUCUUGUCUGUCAGAAAGCUCUAUGGUUUCCCCAUGGAAAAAGACUGCUAUCCUAUGAAUUCCCCAAAAAAUGGAGUGUCUAGGAGGUAAGAAGACUUAUGGACACAGACACUGAACUUUUCUUAGACCACAGAUAUUUAUCUGAGAGCAUGUAGCACGAGGUGAGAUUGGCAAUGGGAUAACUCACGGAACUACAGCCUUCACUGUACUGCUCUGCUAUUUUUCUUCUCGAGUCACUCCUGCUUGCAUUUCUUUUUCCCUGGAAAAUGUAAAAGAAUUCAUAGAUCAAAAAAACAGGAGCUGACACAAAGACAGAAGUACUGGAUCUAAGAAAUGAUUGAUUUCAGGAAUUGGGUAGAGGACCCUUUACUUGGUGGGAAGUAAGAAUUUCAGAGUCCGCAACUAUACCUCUUUUAAGAUAUGAACUUCUCAAACUUGACACACUUCUUAAGAUUAGAGUUGGCCAGUCUUUAGUCAGAAGAAGUCCAUUUAUAUCUGCAUCUUAGAGAUGGGAAAUAGAUUAAGUCAUUCAGAUGGGACUUUAUCUCAAUAUCAGCAGCAAAUCAAAGCAUUGCUGGUGUUAUGAAGCACUGUGCUGCUAGAACCAGCUUUGUCAUUGAAAUACCGCCCAUUAGUACUCCUGUGCCUUGGCAGAUGAAUUAUGAACUGAUGGAAUUUGAAUAACUGUCUGGCCCUUCUGCAAGAAAAGGUAAUAUUGCUCCUGCUUAGUGUCACCUCGGGCUUUUGUGCCAAAACAUCACAGCAGAAUUCAGUGUUGACUGGUAACUAACAGUGAAUUUAAAGUGCUGUCACAGCCAUCCUGCUCAGCUUCCAGGCCUAGGUGCCCAAAGCAUGUAAGAAGCAAUCCACAAGAGAUGGCACAAAGCUGAAGGAUGGGGAUUUUUUUAAAUCCCUGUUUGUUUAGGACAGGAGGCAAAAUGUGUUUUCAGAGAGGCUGCUGCAGGUGCAGAAGGCUCUGCUACAGCUGGCAUUCUGAAAGAUCAAUUACCUAUACCAAAGCUGUUCUUCUGCCUUUGCUAUCUGCUUGCUUAUUACACACAAAGUGAAUUAAAAAGAGCAGGGUUCUGUGUUCAAUACCCUCUUCAAGUGAGCAAUCUAGCCCUUACAACCAGACAUCCUUAAGCUGAUCAGAUGAUGGGACAACAUGAAAUGCUUUUGGCUCUAAAAGGACACUUGGCUAAUAAUACUAUGCUCAAUUGAGAAACCAAGUGAACUCAUGUAAAUAUGAUGCUAUAAAUGAUGUAGGUUGCAUUUCUUUUUGAGUUGUUGGGAAUUAAUGGAUUGAUAGGUAAAACAUUUGAUAUUAUUACUGAAUUUAUCAUAAUAAAUAUUACUCUGCAAUAUUUUGCUCCUGCUUGUGAAGAAUUAAAAUGCUAAAGGGUGCAAACACGUGAUGUUAGGAGCAUGUUAUGACAGUGAUAUUAUAAAUGUUUGUACAGUUUGUCACCAAUAUUUGAAGCCACUUGUAAAAACAGCACCUUUAUAUAAUACAUUAUUACCAUACCCUACUGUAAGUGGUGAUGUGCCUUUAUCCACUGGUACAGAACACAUACAUGACUAAUUAUUCACCCUUUUCUACCCUCUUCCCAUGGAUGGGCUUGAAAAGACAGUGUUAAAAAUAGACACAGGGAUAAUACUCAUGUGAUAAACUAUACAGUCAUGGUUGAAGUGUAUAGAUGUGUUAAUUUCUCAUUUACCAAAAACAUCACUUAUUUUCAUAGAUCCAUUUCAGCAGAUGCUUUUUCUUCUCAUCAUCUACCAGAUGCAAUAGACAAAUAUUUCUCUUCACUCUCAAAAAAGACUCACAAGGCCCCAUAACUGAUAUGAUGUGAUCUUGAAUUAAGACUGUCUUCUCUAGUUCUAUCAGUAUCACGUUUCUGAAGUGUGUUACCUUGCAAUCCUGUAAAGAUGGGAAAUGUAUUUUAUUAUAAAGAAAUCUUCCAUCUGUUGAAUCAAAAGUUAUACUUGCAGAAUCACACAAACACAGAAUCAAUUAGGUUGGAAAAGACCUCCAAGACUGAGACCAACUUUCACUAAUCCCAACCUUGUCAACCAGACCGUGGCACUAAGUGCCACAUCCAGUCUUUACUUAACACCUCUGGCGGUGGCGAGUCUGCCAUCUCCCUGGGCAGCCCAUUCUAAUGUUUAACAACCCUCUUGUUGGAAGGAAUUCCUUCUGAUGUCCAACCUAAACCUUCCCUGGCACAGCUUGAGGCCAUUUCCUCUCAUCCUGUCACAACCUGCUUUCAGGGAGCUGUAGAGUGAUAAGGUCAGCCCUGAGCCUCCUCCUCUCCAGCCACUCCAUUAAGAGAUGGACCAGGAAACUUUGAAGACUUGAUCCAUUGAAAUGACGACAUCCUUCAGCAAAGAAAACCUCUUAAUUAUGCUGUUAAUGCCAGAUUAUGUGCACUCUGAAUUCCAAAGCAUAUGAAUAAAACUAAGCCCCAUAA